ACCUGGGUGGCUCAGUAGGUUAAGCCUCUGACUUCAGCUCAGGUCAUGAUCUUACAGUUUGUGGGUUCGAGCCCCAUGUCAGGCU
rnacentral:tRNA from 1 species